AAAUGGUUUAGGAAGUGGAGAGGAUAGCAAAUGAGGAUGAAUAGAGUUUUUGGAAAAUCUGCUACCAACAGGUGAUGAAGAACCAGAUGUAUCAACCACCAGUGAUCAAGAAAAAGAAUAUGGUAGGAGAGAAACACGCAGACACUCGCUUACUAUCACACCUGAAGGUUAAGGAUUAAAGAAGGGUAUGGAGAUGGUAGUUUGAAGGAAUAACAGCACUCCAUUUCACCUCUGCGAUUAAUUUAUCAAUGGGCACUGACAGGAACGCAGAGAAAGAAAAAGAUCAUACUGUCACAUGGUUUAUGGAAGUAUGUAGUUGAAGUUGAUAUUUG
rnacentral:misc_RNA from 1 species